rnacentral:rRNA from 1 species
ACUCAAAUGAAUUGACGGGGGCUCACACAAGCGGAGGAGCAUGUUGUUCAAUUCGAAGCAACGCGAAGAAUCUUACCUGGGUUUGACAUGCGUGAGGUAGAAUCCCGAAAGGGUGACGAUGCGGGAAACCGUAAAACACGCACAGGUGCUGCAUGGCUGUCGUCAGCUCGUGUCGUGAGACGUUAGGUUAAGUCCUGUAACGAGCGAAACCCCUGUCGUCUGUUGCCACCGGGUCAAGCUGGGCACUCUGACGAGACUGCCAGUGUCAAACUGGAGGAAGGCGGGGACGACGUCAAGUCAUCAUGGUCCUUACGCCCAGGGCUACAAACGUGCUACAAUGGCCGGUACAGAGAGACGCAAUGCCGCGAGGCGGAGCAAAUCUUCAAAACCGGCCCCAGUUCGGAUUGGAGGCUGAAAUUCGCCUCCAUGAAGCCGGAUUCGCUAGUAAUCGCGGAUCAGAUACGCCGCGGUGAAUACGUUCCUGAGCCUUGUACACACCGCCCGU